rnacentral:rRNA from 1 species
UACGUAGGGGGCUAGCGUUGUCCGGAAUCAUUGGGCGUAAAGAGCGUGUAGGCGGCCCGGUAAGUCCGCUGUGAAAGUCGGGGGCUCAACCCCUCGGAUGCCGGUGGAUACUGUCGGGCUCGAGUACGGAAGAGGCGAGUGGAAUUCCUGGUGUAGCGGUGAAAUGCGCAGAUAUCAGGAGGAACACCUAUUGCGAAGGCAGCUCGCUGGGACGUUACUGACGCUGAGACGCGAAAGCGUGGGGAGCAAAACAGG